ensembl:miRNA gga-mir-1691 gga-mir-1691
UCAGCUGCCGGGUGGCUGUGUGCCUGGAGCAGCCAGAGCUUUUGAAGUAGCUCAGCUGACCUGGGCCUGCAGUGCCCCCCAGAAGCGCUGG